rnacentral:rRNA from 1 species
UACGGGGGGGCAAGCGUUGUUCGGAAUUACUGGGCGUAAAGGGCGCGUAGGCGGCCUACUAAGUCGGACGUGAAUCCCUCGGCUCAACCGGGGAACUGCGUCCGAUACUGGUGGGCUCGAAUCCGGGAGAGGGAUGUGGAAUUCUUGGUGUAGCAGUGAAAUGCGUAGAUAUCAAGAGGAACACCGGUGGCGUAGGCGGUUGCCUGGAAGAAUUCCUGACUCGUGAAACACGGAAAGCUAGGGGAGCAAACGGG